rnacentral:rRNA from 1 species
AGUGAACGCUGGCGGUAGGCCUAACACAUGCAAGUCGAACGGCAGCACAGUAAGAGCUUGCUCUUAAGGGUGGCGAGUGGCGGACGGGUGAGGAAUACAUCGGAAUCUACUUUUUCGUGGGGGAUAACGUAGGGAAACUUACGCUAAUACCGCAUACGACCUACGGGUGAAAGCAGGGGAUCUUCGGACCUUGCGCGAUUGAAUGAGCCGAUGUCGGAUUAGCUAGUUGGCGGGGUAAAGGCCCACCAAGGCGACGAUCCGUAGCUGGUCUGAGAGGAUGAUCAGCCACACUGGAACUGAGACACGGUCCAGACUCCUACGAGAGGCAGCAGUGGGGAAUAUUGGACAAUGGGCGCAAGCCUGAUCCAGCCAUACCGCGUGGGUGAAGAAGGCCUUCGGGUUGUAAAGCCCUUUUGUUGGGAAAGAAAAGCAGCAGGUUAAUACCCCGCUGUUCUGACGGUACCCAAAGAAUAAGCACCGGCUAACUUCGUG